rnacentral:lncRNA from 1 species
AUGUGGACUUACUGCAAGUGUCCCCGGGCGCUCGGUGUGCGACGCUGGGGUUGGGAGCUGCCUGCAGCUGGGUUAGGGCUGCUUUGCGUGGGGGGCAGCCUCUGGGGCUACAGGGAGGGCAGCAGCCGGCGGGCGGGGCCACUCUGCCCCCUGCGUGGACAGAGGCACGGGGUUGGGUGGUGGUCCCAGGACCUUGGGCUCCUGGCUGCUGCGUGUUGGUGGCUGCACCAAGCUGCUGAGCUCUGGUUGGGGUCAGACAUUGACCCCGGGCAGGUACAAGAGUGUCAGGCACUAAAGAAGUCAGUUCCUCUGCCUGCUCCUGGAGCAGGGCCCAGAGACCCAAGGGGUGGGAGCUGCACCCAGGUAUUCACCUUGGGGGAGUCCCACUGCGAAGCACCCUGGUUCUGCCCUCAGAACAUGGCCAGGACUGCCUGUGGAGCCAGUGCAGACCUCCCCGCCCCGCCCAGGGCCUCCCGGGGGGCAGAGGGAGAACAGGUGCCGAGGCCGGAAGAUCAGGGAGCGAAGCAGAGAGAUGCAGUUCAGUGUCUGCCUCUGCCCGGUGCUGGAGUGGGCCACGUCCAGAACCUCCUCUGUGUCUCCUGCACCAGAGGGGGGUCACUGUCAUCUUCAGACCCCCCGUUGCCUCCCUCAGCCCAGCUCCGAGGGUCCCCUCCAUCAUCCGUAGCCCUGGGGGACCCCCUGCUCUGCCCUGUGCCUCACCCUGCAGAUGAUGCGAGAGAGAGAGUGGGGUUCACCCCCCAGCCCAGCCCACGCAGCUGUAGGCCGGCCUCCCUGCCUCCCGCCCCCCCAGGAGCCGCUUCAUGCCGCUGGAGCUCAGACCGCGUGCAAGGGAGGCAGGCAGGGGCGAGUGACCACGCCCUGGCCCAGAGAAGGCCCCCACCCUGGUGCAGAGCCGCCUGCUCCGGGCUUGGAGUUGCAGCUCGGAGUGGGGGUGGGGGCACCUACAGACCUCCACCUGCGCCGGUGCUGCUGGAGCCCAGCUGCUGGGCACCCUCGGGAGGAGGAGGCUGGGGGAGGGGCUCGGGGGAGGUGUACAGGGCAGGCCUGGGUGGCCGCUCCCUGCUGCACCGGGAGGCCCUGCCCAGUCCUUCUCUCCAGAUCGAAGUUGCAAGGAAACGGCAUUCUUUUCUCAUUAAAAAUUCAUCUCGGCCUGGACGGCGACCAGCCGCGACACCACUGCUCUCCACCAGCGUCCCCGCCGUCUCCUCUCCAGCUCGCUCUGCCACGUGCUUCGUGAUCUGGGUGGAGGACCCCUCCCAGGCCCCCCUCCCACAUCCUCAGGGUUGA